GAUGAACGCUGGCGGCGUGCCUAAUACAUGCAAGUCGAGCGAACGGACGAGAAGCUUGCUUCUCUGAUGUUAGCGGCGGACGGGUGAGUAACACGUGGAUAACCUACCUAUAAGACUGGGAUAACUUCGGGAAACCGGAGCUAGUACCGGAUGAUAUUUUGAACCGCAUGGUUCAAAAGUGAAAGACGGUCUUGCUGUCACUUAUAGAUGGAUCCGCGCUGCAUUAGCUAGUUGGUAAGGUAAUGGCUUACCAAGGCAACGAUGCAUAGCCGACCUGAGAGGGUGAUCGGCCACACUGGAACUGAGACACGGUCCAGACUCCUACGGGAGGCAGCAGUAGGGAAUCUUCCGCAAUGGGCGAAAGCCUGACGGAGCAACGCCGCGUGAGUGAUGAAGGUCUUCGGAUCGUAAAACUCUGUUAUUAGGGAAGAACAUAUGUGUAAGUAACUGUGCACAUCUUGACGGUACCUAAUCAGAAAGCCACGGCUAACUACGUG
rnacentral:rRNA from 1 species